AGUGGCCAGACACAAAGGGCUCAAAUGGAAAGCAGCUGCAGAGACAGAGAAUCCGAUUGUGAAGGCACCCGAGACUCCAGGCAGGCGGAAGAGGCAGCGUCUUGGGUGCUGGGCUGGGUAACAGAGGCCAGGGUAUUGACCAGAAACUCCAACAAGCAGGGGACAGCUUGGGGGGUGGGGGGUUGUCUCCCACCCCUUCUUCAGGGUGCUGGCCUAGGAGACAGGGACCCCGCCUCGGGCAUCUCCUGCUUAACCUCAGUUUCUGUGUCCAGACAUGGGCAGGCCAUCCUGACUCUCUUAGCCUUGGUUUCCAUCUCCAAAAUGUGUCCAGUAGUGGCACCUUCCUUCUAGGGAGGGGUUGUGUGGUUAAGGUCUCGGGGCGGGCUCCUCAGUCAAACAGGCUUGGCUUUGAUCCUGCCUCUGCCUCUCACUAACUGUGUGACCUGGAGUAAGCCACCUCCCCUCCCUGUGCCUUGAUUUUCCCAUCUGUGAAAUGGAAACAAUAAUAGAACUAAUCUGCUGGGGAGAUGAACUGAGAAGACUCAGCCUGGUGCCUGGAGCAGAGUAAAGACUAAUGAUUAUUGUUGUCUUUCUUUUUGGAGGCAGAGUCUCACUGUGUUGCCCAGCCUGGAGUGCAGUGGCAGUGGCGCGAUCUCGGCUCACUACAAGCUCCACCUCCCAGGUUCAAUCAUUGACCCUCCAGCCUCAGCCUCCCGAGAAGCUAGGACUAUAGGCUCACACCACCAGGCCCAGCUAAUUUUUUGUAUUUUUAGUAGAGACCAGGUUUCACCAUGUUGACCAGGCUGGUCUUGAACUCCUGGCCUGAAGUGAUCUGCCUGCCUUAGCCUCCCAAAUUGCUGGGAUUCCAGGUGUGAGUCACCGCGUCCAGGCAUCUUUCUUAUUAUUAUUAUCCCAGGAGCUCCACCUGCUAAGGCCCCAGCCUCAGAAAGCCUCCCUUCCCCUGAGUGCUGGUUCAUCUCAACAAUUUCCUCACAUAUUUCUUGAGCAGCAACUAUACCGGUCUUGGCAAAGCCAAGGUUCUAUCUAGGAGAAGAAAGACAUUAAAUGAAGGACCCGUGUGUGAAGGGCUUGGUGAGUCUGGGAUCAAAGAGGCCCAGUAGGGUGUCAGAGGUCACGUAGCCAAGACAUGGCAGAGCUGAGAUGAAACCCCGCAGUGGGACACUGCCCCACUUGCCCCCCGACAGCGCUCUCCAGCCUCCAGGCCUUUGCUCCAGCUCUUCCUUCUGCCCAGACAUUCCAGACCCUGCACCGUCUCAUAUCCACUCUGCUGGAGGAAUGAAGAGAACAGCCCUUGGAGGCCGCAAAGUGUCCUCAAGCCUCAGUUUUCCCAUCUAUGAAAUGGGGAUAGCAUGGGGCUUUCCUCUCGGGCUGCAGAAAGGAUCGAGAAAAGGCUUAUUAUUCACCUAGGGCCUAGCCCUUGGGAACCAGUCCGGAAGGACAGCUGUUAUUAUUGCUAAUGCUGUUCCUAUCACAGUGACAGCGUGUCCCGUUAGGCCUGCAAACCCCUAUACCUCAGUUUUUCCUGUAAUGAAACCUGCCUGCUGAGGCCUCGGUGAGGGCUCAUUUAAUGAUAAUCUUUAGGGAAAAAAAAUACACCCCCCAAGCCGCCUGUGUGGCUGCAGCCCACAGGGGUAACCUGACGCCCCUCGCCUGACCUGGCCCCCAGGUCUUUGUGUGAGUCCUGCCCAGAUUACUGUAUUUGUCCAAACCCAAAGCCAAGGCUGGCAUGAGCUCAAUGCUCUGCAUUGUGCCAGAGCCAGGCCCCCCAGGCCUCAUCCCUCCUCCCGCUGGGGAUCCGGCCCCCAGGAGGUGUCACAGGGGAAAUCGGAAACCCAGCAGGGCCCACUGGGGUGGCCUCCUGGGUGCCAGGCCCUAGGCUUACGCUCCUUGCGUGUUGCCUCAUCAAUCCUUCAUGACCUCACUGUGCAGAAAGGCACAUGCUGUGCCCAUUUUCCAGAUGGAGAGAAUGAGGCCCGGGUAGCCAAAUUGUUGCUACAGUUCAUGCCGGUGGAAGUGGCAGAGCUCAGGUCAGGCUGAAGGAGGACCUGUCCCCAGAAGAGGAACCUGGGAACCCUGGAUCUUCAGCUGGAGCCAGGCAUCUUGGGGAGCAGAGAUGAAGGAAAGCCGAACCAUGUGGCAGGGGGCACCAUGGCUAAGGAUUCCGCCCUGAGUUCAAGUCCAGCUCUGCCACACGCCCUGCACAGAAACCUACUCCUCUCUGAACUUUGCUUUCCUGAACGAAAAAAAUGGGGGAGCAGCUGAGCACGGCAGCUCACGCCUGUAAUCCCAGCACUUUGGGAGGCCGAGGUGGGAAGAUCACUUGAGGUCAGGAGUUUGAGACCAGCCUGACCAACAUGGUGAAACGCUGUCUCUGCUAAAAAGACAAAAUUAGCCAGGCGUGGUGGUGGGCACCUGUAAUCGUAGCUACUCAGGAGGCUGAGGCAGGAGAAUCACUUGAACCUGGGAGGCGGAGGUUGCAGCGAACCCAGAUCGCGACACUGCACUCCAGCAUGGGCAACAGAGCGGGACUCCAUCUAAAAAAUAAGUAAAUAAAUAAAAAGUAACAAUAACAAUAAAUAAAUAAGGGAACAAUAGCUUUUCCUCAGGGGCUGGGAGAGGACUCAGGCCAUAAGGUAGGUGAAACACUUAGCAGGUAGUAAGUGCUCAAUCUACAGGAGCUUAAAAACCCAACCGCAUCCUCCAUGGGGAAGAAUCUGUCUCCUGCCUGCGGGUCUGAGAUUCCAAAACACUGAGGAAAUUUGGCUCCAAUGGGACCUGGUAUUUGGGGAGGGAGUUAAAAAGGAGGGGUGGGGAGCAGUUUUUGGAGAUCACUCUCUCCUAGGAGUUCCCUCCCCUCUUCCCAACUUCAGUUUCUCCAUCUGACCAGGCUCCUGCCCAGCCCCUCCUAGAGAGACUAGUUUCGGGGCUGAUUUUGUUGUUUGCUGUUUUUUUCACAUCUGCACAUACAAUCACUCAGUCUAGUGUGUCUCACAUGCCCGCAUGGAGCCACUGUGUGUGCACUGUUGUGGUUUUUCAUUUUUACUUUUCUGCAAAAGCCUUCUUUUUUUCCCUUGGUGACCAUUGAGAAUGGAUUCUUACCUAUUUUUCUGUAAGAAUGAAAAUCCCAUACAGACUGUCUGCCCGGACAAAGGGUUUCUUUAUCUGUCAUUCCUUUUACAAAUCAGAAUCACAUUGGGCAUCCUUUUCUGCAUCUUGUAUUUUUCACUCAAGAAUACCCACACAAGGCCAGGAGCGGUGGCCCAUACCUGUAAUCCCAGCAUUUUGGGAGGCUGAGGUGGGCGGAUCACUUGUGGCCAGAAGCUUGAGACCAGCCUGGCCAACAUGGUGAAACCCAGUCCUCUACCAAAAAUACAAAAAUUAGCUGGGCAUGGUGUCGCACGUCUGUAAUCCCAGCUAUUCAGGAGGCUGAGGCACAGGAAUCGCUUGAACCCGGGAGGCAGAGGUUGCAGUGAGCCGAGAUCAUGCCACUGCACUCCAGCCUGGGUGACAGAGCGAGACAGUCUCUCAAAAAAAAAAAAAAAAAAAUAUAUAUAUAUAUACACACACAUACACACACACACACACACACACACACACGAAACAAGCCCUUGUAUACCAAUUACCAUAGCAGCACUAGUCACAGUAGCCAAAAGGUGGAAACAACCCAACUGUCCAUCAGUCGAUGAAUAGAUAUGCAAAAUGUGAUCUAGCCAUACAACAGUAUUUGAUCAUUUUUUAAAAAUGAAGUACUGGUGGGGCGCAGUGGCUCACGCCCGUAAUCCCAGUACUUUGGGAGGUCAGGGCAGGUGAUCACCCGAGGUCAGGAGUUCGAGACCAGCCUGGCCAACAUGGUGAAACCCCGUCUCUACUAAAAAUACAAAAAUUAGCUAGACGUGGUGGCACAUGCCUGUAAUCCCAGCUACUCGGGAGGCUGAGGCAGGAGAAUCACUUGAACCCGGGAGAUGGAGGUUGCAGUGAGCUGAGAUCAUCCCACUGCACUCCAGCCUGGGCGACAGAGUGAGACUCCAUCUCAAAAAAAUUAAAAUUAAAAAUUAAAAAAAAAUGAAGUACUGAUGCAUGCCACAACGUGGAAGAACCUCAAAAACAUUAGGCUAAUUGAAAGAAGUUAGACACAAAAGGUCAUAUAUUGUAUGAUACUGUUUAUAUGAAGUCUCCAGUAUAGAUAAACCCAUAGAGACAGAAAGAAGACUGACGGUUGCCAGGAACUGGGGGGAGGCAGGAAUGAGGAGUGACUGUUUAAUGGGUACAUGGUCUCCUUUGGGUGAUUGAAAAUGUUUUGGGGCCUAGCACAGUGACUCAUGCCUGUAAUCCCAGCACUUUGGGAGGCCGAGGCAGGCAGAUCACUUGAGCCCAGGAGUUUGAGACCAGCCUGGGCAGCAUGACAAAACCGCACCUCUACAAAAAAUACAAAAAAUUAGCUGGGCGUGGCAGCAUGUGCAUUUAGUCCCAGCUAUCUAGGAGGCUGAGGUGGGAGGAUCACCUGAGCCUGGGGAGGUUGAGGCUGCCCUAAGCUGAGAUCACACCACUGUACUCCAG
rnacentral:lncRNA from 1 species